rnacentral:rRNA from 1 species
UAUAGUGCCAUCUAUUAUAAUGGAUGGCAUGGGUUGGGUGCUUCUGCUGUGCUUAGAGCUAUGGUCGAAGACCCUCCCCCAUCUUUAUGGAAGAAUUUUGACAAGAUCAUCCACAUCGAUUGCUCGUGGUGGAAAAGUCGAAGAGCACUACAAAGGAAAAUAGCUGAGCAAUUGAAGCUUCCUGGAAGUGUAAUUGCUAUUUUUGAUAAGCAAGAUGAAAAAGAUGAUUUGGAAGGGUUAGAUGAGGGAUCUCGAGCUGAGAUACAACAUGUUGUGCCAAUAAUCCAUCGGUCCCUACAAGACCAUAGAUGUUUAGUGGUAUUUUUGAAUGGGAGCCUCAACAGAGUUGACUUGAAUGAUUUCGGCAUUCCUCAAGCAGGGUUUGGCACUAGAAUAUUGUGGACUUUUAGGGGAAGGAUUCUGCUCAACUCAAUCAUAAAUGAAAAGAUGGACAAUUCAAAUUUUGUUGUCUUUGAGGAAGGUUUUCACAGUCGCAUGUUUUUUCUACAGGCAGAGGUUGGAGAAAUUGCUCAGUCUAUUGGAAAUCUUGUCGUCACCCCUGAAAUACCGGCAGAGUGUUGCAUGUACAUGUUGUCAUUAAUCUCUCAGAGUGGCGGCAUUAUUGACUUCAAGUGGACUACCCAUGCUAACAACUACUGGGUCUGCGAUGGUAUUGUACAAGGAGUUCAAGAUGAUGAAGCGUGGGAUAUUGGUACUGCUUUGUAUCAAUGGAUCGGAUUAGAGGACUACUCAUAUAUUUUGGGCAGUGCUCAGAAACGCUGGAUAGCUGUUACCUCCACUAGUAAGGAAGAAACGAGAGAGAUCGAGGUAGUGAUUGUACCUCUAGAGUCAACAUCCUUUUUCCAUGCAGCCCAAAGGGAAUCCAAUCCUGCAUUAAAAACACUACCAGAUGGCAUGUUUCAUCAAUCGGACAAGCUUCGUGUGCUCAGAUUAUGCAACUGCUCCUUCAGUUUUUCUUCACCUCCUUUCCAGUGUUGUCGAAGCUUACGUUUCCUUGGAUUGGAUAGUUGCAAGGAUCAACAAAAGGAAGAAUCCAUGAAGCAAGGAAAACCAAAUAUGGAAUUUUUUCACAGCCUAUGGGUGAUAGAUAUAUAUGACACAACCUGGGAACUGGAUCUGUCACUAGAGACAAUAGACCAAAUGGCUGCAAACAUUAGGGAGGUACAUAUGAAGAAGGGAAGGAUUUGGUGCCAUAAUUUUUCAUGGCGACAACUACAGAACCUUCGCAAGCUUCGAAUAAGUGAAAUGGAUGAAUUCACACACAUGGUGAAGUUGGAGCUCCUCGAUCUAACUGGGAAUAGUACAAUACAAGUUUUGCCAAGACUGUCAGAGGCAAUUGUUCUGAAGACUCUGAUUCUAGAUGGUUGUGUUCAGUUAGAGCAUGUUGGCCCUGACGGACUCCCUCGGUCAAUUGAAUCAUUCAGCUUAACUGCAAGUUCAAGUCAAAAAGCAAAAGUCUCCAAGAUCUCUUUAGCCGGUUGUGUGCAUUUGGAGAACUUCACAUUGUGUGGAGCAUUGCCGUGCCUUGAGGAGCUGGACCUAUCAGGCACCUCAAUCACGAAUCUUGACUUCAGCCAUGAGAUGGUGCAGGUGCCAAAACUAGAGCGACUCUUUCUAAUAGGCUGUGAGAACCUCCAUGCAAUACUAUGGAAGGGUGUCAAUAGAAGCUUGAAAAUACUACACAUUAGCAGUGAACGAAAGGACGCUAUAAGGCCACAUGAUUCUUCAUUCAUCCGUUCUGUAAACAGGAAAUAUGAUGGCGAAGUUUAUCUCAGAGAUGCAAGGCUCAUUCCAUCCUUGGUGCUCGGUUCGUUUUUGAUUACGGAUAGCCUAUACUUGAAUCUAGGUAAGUCUUUCGAGAUCAAAGCUGAAGGGAGAAGCGUUAAUACUUUGGGGAUUGAGACCUGCAAUGUCCAGGUAGUUUCGCCAGUCCGAAGCCCCUUCAGAUGCUGCUACCAUGACAUCGUACUCGAGAGAGUAGCUAAUGCUUACAAGGUCCCACGAAUUCUACCCCUACACCGCCACGUUGAGAUUGGUGAUGGAAUUAAUCUCACUAAUGCGGAGUCCGUUUGGGGACUUUUAGCUAUUCGUCAAUUGAUAUGGUGGGCUCAUUCCUUGCGUGUCCAUGACAAUUCAUCCAUCCUUGGUGUUACCCCCAAGCAAGAUUCUGUCCUUCCAGGUGGAAAACUUAUGUUUUAUUUGAGAUGGUGCCAUGUUGAGAGGUGUCCUAAGUUACAGAAAGUUUUCACCCCUUACACAAACAAGUGGUGUUAUUCCUUUGCUCAUAUGGAGACCAUUUGGGUGACCGAUCUCAGAGCAGCUGGCUGCAUUUGGAGCAAAGGAAUGAUUGGGGCAUUUGAGGAAGAAUCUGUCUUUGGAGAACUACGGAGCAUACACUUGCACAACUGCCCAAGGCUCAAGUUUGUCCUCCCAAUCUCAUCAUUCAUUUUACCCAGCCUGGAGACCAUCCAAAUAGUCCAUUGUGGUAAUCUCAGGCAGGUCUUCCCACGGGAUGUGAAUUAUGAAGCUGGAAAAGAAGACACUGUGAAGAAUUUUCCAGAGCUAAAGCACAUCUACUUGCACCAACUCGACUGCCUGGAGCAAAUAUGCGAGGCCAAGAUGUUUGCUCCCAAGCUUGAGACGAUCAGGAUAAGGGGUUCUUGGGGCCUUAGACGCCUCCCGUCUGUCAGCCUUCGCCAUGGAGCCGGCCUUCCUGUUGUGGACUGUGAGAAGGACUUGUGGGACAAGCUAGAGUGGGACGGUCUGGAGGCCGGGCACCACCCGUCUCCAGGCAGUCGAGUUGGCUGUGCCAGGCCCAGGCACCAAAGCAACCUCUGUUUGGCACAAGUAAAAGUAUAA